rnacentral:rRNA from 1 species
GCAAGUCGAGCGGUAACAUUUCAAAGCUUGCUUUGAAGAUGACGAGCGGCGGACGGGUGGUAAUGCUUGGGAAUAUGCCUUGAAGUGGGGGACAACAGUUGGAAACGACUGCUAAUACCGCAUAAUGUCUACGGACCAAAGGGGGGGAUCUUCGGACCUCUCGCUUCUUGAUUAGCCCAAGUGAGAUUAGCUAGUAGGUGAGGUAAAGGCUCACCUAGGCGACGAUCUCUAGCUGGUUUGAGAGGAUGAUC